GAAAAACAUUAUGACCAAAAUGAAUACGCUAAUCGAGUAUUUAGUCAUUCGAAACCAUCAUGAAGUUCUCCCCCGCCCCACUUUGUCCGCUCGACUUCAGAAUACGUAUUGAAUGCGUAUCAGGGCAGCGUAUCAACAGUCGCUGUGUUCUCGAAACGAGCCACAGACUCGAAUGGGGGGGUCCUUCCUGACCGGCUCUUUGAUUGCUCGUCGCUAGUUAAUAUUAUCGUUAAAACGAUUUCAAACGAUUACAAUAAUAAACACGUUACUUUAAAUGAUUUUCGUUUGUUAAUCCGGACCUGGCACUUCUGCGAGGAAGUUAUCUAUACACUGUCCUAAGAGUGUACAACCUGAAAUCUACUCCCAAGUCGGCGAUAAACCUCUAUUUUAGUCUAUAGUCAAAUAUAAUACCCGUAUGACAACAGCGGUUUCCGUUUAUCUUAUCGGAAACGUCAAAUGCAAGUAAAUUGUUGUUAUAGCGAUUCGUGUCGUAAGUAUUAAUAUUUAGGGUACUACAUUUUAUAAGAUUAAAAAAAAAAAAAUUAAUUUACAUAAGUCGAAAAAAUUAGCGCACUACUUUAAACAAGAAAAAAAGUCGAACUUGUAGCGCUCUACUUAUUUCUGUAAUCGACAUUGGCG